rnacentral:rRNA from 1 species
UGGAAACGAUAGCUAAUACCGCAUAAUAUCUUUGAUUGCAUGAUUGAAGUUUGAAAGAUGCAACUGCAUCACUACCAGAUGGACCUGCGUUGUAUUAGCUAGUAGGUGAGGUAAAGGCUCACCUAGGCGACGAUACAUAGCCGACCUGAGAGGGUGAACGGCCACACUGGGACUGAGACACGGCCCAGACUCCUACGGGAGGCAGCAGUAGGGAACCUUCGGCAAUGGGGGCAACCCUGACCGAGCAACGCCGCGUGAGUGAAGAAGGUUUUCGGAUCGUAAAGCUCUGUUGUAAGAGAAGAACGUGUGUGA